AACACGGGAGAGAAAAAUUUAUUGCUGUGGGGCUCACUACUGGGGUUGUAGGCAUGCUUUAUUUGUGCAAACUCAUAAGAGGUGGAGAAAGUAGAGCAGAUCAAGCAAACUACAGGGAUACCGUCAGGUACACCCUUGUUCUGUGCUCCCACAGUCCUUCUCUGAUGACUCUAAGCUCAGGGAUAAGAAAAUCUGAGAAAGCUGCUGGAAAGGCUUUCAUCCUUAUCCACACACGAGGGGAAAAGCACCUUUUGCUUCUCCAAGCUAAGAAGAAAGAGACUCUCCGAACCUGAGAGAUGUUCCUGGUUUGUU
rnacentral:lncRNA from 1 species